UUCAGAGGUCCCGAGCGUUGUUCGGAUUUACUGGGCGUAAAGGGAGCGUAGGCGGUUCGGUAUGUCGAAUGUGAAAGCCCACAACUCAACUGUGGAAAUGCAUUCGAAACUGCCGGGCUAGAGUACUGGAGAGGAGAGCGGAAUUCUUGGUGUAGCGGUGAAAUGCGUAGAUAUCAAGAGGAACACCGGUGGCGAAGGCGGCUCUCUGGACAGAUACUGACGCUGAGGCUCUAAAGUUAGGGGAGCAAACAGG
rnacentral:rRNA from 1 species